UUCUUCAUCCUCAUCAUCUUUUACCUUCAAACUCUCAAUCCCUUUCUUCCCCUUCUCUCACGUCCCACUCCCCUCACCCACAGCGGCGGCACAACCAAGCCCAGCCAUGAGUUCCACCACCAACAGCAACCGCUUCUCCUCCUCCCUUUAUUAUUGGAGACGACAUCAUCGAGGAACCUUUCUAGUGAUCGUGGAGAAACGGACUUCGCUUCUUGAAGCGUUAUUGUUUGAUCACAGAUCGGAACCGUCGGGAACGAUGGGUUAACGGCGUUGAAUAGCGUUCCAAGGAUGUAUAUUGAGCUGAGCAUGUAGGAAUUUGUAAUUUUGUAUUAGGUUUUUGGAUAAAUGUAUAUUUGUUUUGGUUGUGCUGGUUAUAUCGGUCUUGUAGAGAAUUGUAUGACUAUCUUGUGUAUUAGUUAGAUGUUGGUUUUAGGAUUUAGCUGAGUUAGUCACGUUGAAGAGCUUG